CCUACGGGUGGCAGCAGUCGAGAAUAAUUCACAAUGGGGGAAACCCUGAUGGAGCGACGCCGCGUGGGGGAAUGAAGGUCUUCGGAUUGUAAACCCCUGUCAUGUGGGAGCAAAUUAAAAAGAUAGUACCACAAGAGGAAGAGACGGCGAACUCGGGGCCAGCAGCCGCGGGAAUACAGAGGCCUCAAGCGUUGUUCGGAAUCACUGGGCGUAAAGCGUGCGUAGGCGGUUUGGUAAGUAGUUUGUGAAAGGCUCGGGGUCAACCCGCGGACGGCACCUGAUACUGCGAGACUAGAGUAAGGGAGGGGCAACCGGAAUUCUCGGUGUAGCAGUGAAAUGCGUAGAUAUCGAGAGGAACACUCGUGGCGAAGGCGGGUUCCUGGACAUUAACUGACGCUGAGGCACGAAGGCCAGGGGAGCGAAAGGGAUUAGAUACCCUGGUAGUC
rnacentral:rRNA from 1 species